AUUGAACGCUGGCGGCAGGCCUAACACAUGCAAGUCGAGCGGAUGAAGGGAGCUUGCUCCUGGAUUCAGCGGCGGACGGGUGAGUAAUGCCUAGGAAUCUGCCUGGUAGUGGGGGAUAACGUCCGGAAACGGGCGCUAAUACCGCAUACGUCCUGAGGGAGAAAGUGGGGGAUCUUCGGACCUCACGCUAUCAGAUGAGCCUAGGUCGGAUUAGCUAGUUGGUGGGGUAAAGGCCUACCAAGGCGACGAUCCGUAACUGGUCUGAGAGGAUGAUCAGUCACACUGGAGCUGAGACACGGUCCAGACUCCUGCGGGAGGCAGCAGUGGGGAAUAUUGGACAAUGGGCGAAAGCCUAAUCCAGCCAUGCCGCGUGUGUGAAGAAGGUCUUCGGAUUGUAAAGCACUUUAAGUUGGGAGGAAGGGCAGUAAGUUAAUACCUUGCUGUUUUGACGUUACCAACAGAAUAAGCACCGGCUAACUUCGUG
rnacentral:rRNA from 1 species